rnacentral:tRNA from 1 species
GCGCCGGUAGUCUAGCCUGGUAGGAUGGCGGCCUCCCGAGCCGCUGAUCCCGGGUUCGAAUCCCGGCCGGCGCA